rnacentral:rRNA from 1 species
CAAUAGCGUAUAUUAAAGUUGUUGCAGUUAAAAAGCUCGUAGUUGGAUUUCUGGUCUGAUGCCCUGGCCCGCGUCUUAUAGAUGUGUGUGCCGGCUGUGCGUCUGCCAUCCUUCUAGUAACCCUUCCUACCCUUCACUGGGCCGGGUUGGCGAUCUAGAUCUUUUACUUUGAAAAAAUUAGAGUGUUUAAAGCAGGCUUUUGCUAUGAAUACAUUAGCAUGGAAUAAUAAUCUAGGACUUCGGUUUUAUUUUUGUUUGGUUUUCUUAACACUGAAGUAAUGAUUGAUAGGGAUAGUUGGGGGUUGGCUAGUAUUGGCCGGCCACGAGGUGAAAUUACUUGGAUUCGGUCAAGACUAACUUAUUGCGAAAGACAUUCACCAAGGAUGUCUUCUUUAAUUCAAGAACGAAAGUUGGGGGA